GAGAGGGAGAGCGCUGCCAUCGACACAUUGCGUCCAAACCCUCCAAUGUGUUUCUCAAGUGCCGGUAUUAAAACGCAUAGAUUGAUCUCUCUCGUGUCUUUCGAGAUGAGAGGAGCAUCAUCGUGAAGGAAUUUCGAAGAGAGUUACCGAGAAGCGAGGUUCAUAGCCAGUGCAAUCCCGAAAAGUCGAGGAAUUCUUCUAUGACUCAUGAGAAACGAACACUAGAACAUUAUCUGUGACUGUUUUGGUUUGGUGAAACCUGUAGGAGUUGGUGUGUUGCUUAUCUCUCUUCCCCCUCCCUCGCAGAGGAGCUGAAUUCGGUCGGGACUUCUUGAAAGAGCUGGAGCGGCAAGUCACUUACGUCACAGCCAGUCGCGGUGUGGCUGUAACGAGUCGAACGCGAACCAGAGACUUCAGUUGUUGGUAAGAGACUCGUGGAAUUAUCUAGUACUGUGAACAGCGGCCGGUAGGUAGCGUUGUGGUCGAGUGGUAUCGGGUAUCGGGUAUAAGGUAUAAGGUAUAAGGUAUAAGGUAUAAUAGAUCAUUAUGUAGAGGCAGAUGGACGUGGUAGAGAUGGUUAUGCUGAUAAUGGUACUGGAGUUUUUUUUCUUUUCUUUUCCAUCAGAUAAAGCGGAGGUGGAUAAGGGGAAUGCUGAAUAAUGGAGAUUGUUGUCUUUGUUAAU
rnacentral:lncRNA from 1 species